AAUCAACGCUGGCGGCGUGCCUAACACAUGCAAGUCGAACGCGAAAGCCCCUUCGGGGGUAAGUAGAGUGGCGUCCGGGUGAGUAACACGUAGGUAAUCUACCUUCGGGUGGGGAAUAACCAGUCGAAAGAUUGGCUAAUACCGCAUAAUGCAGCGGCACCUAAUGGUGAUUAGUUGUUAAAGCGGGGGAUCGUAAGACCUCGCGCCUGAAGAGGAGCCUGCGGCAGAUUAGCUAGUUGGNGAGGUAAUGGCUCACCAAGGCUUCGAUCUGUAGCUGGUCUGAGAGGACGGCCAGCCACACUGGCACUGACACACGGGCCAGACUCCUACGGGAGGCAGCAGUGGGGAAUUUUGGGCAAUGGGCGAAAGCCUGACCCAGCAACGCCGCGUGAGGGAGGAAAUCCUUCGGGAUGUAAACCUCACAAGCAAGGGAAGAGAGCUCAGGGCCGAAUAAGCUUUGAGUCCGACGGUACCUUGCGUAAGCCACGGCUAACUACGUGCCAGCA
rnacentral:rRNA from 1 species